rnacentral:rRNA from 1 species
CCUACGGGGGGCAGCAGUGGGGAAUAUUGGACAAUGGGGGCAACCCUGAUCCAGCCAUGCCGCGUGUGUGAAGAAGGCCCUCGGGUUGUAAAGCACUUUCAGUGAGGAAGAACGCCUGGUGGUUAAUACCCAUCAGGAAAGACAUCACUCACAGAAGAAGCACCGGCUAACUCCGUGCCAGCAGCCGCGGUAAUACGGAGGGUGCGAGCGUUAAUCGGAAUUACUGGGCGUAAAGCGCGCGUAGGUGGCUUGAUAAGCCGGUUGUGAAAGCCCCGGGCUCAACCUGGGAACGGCAGCCGGAACUGUCAAGCUAGAGUGCAGGAGAGGAAGGUAGAAUUCCCGGUGGAGCGGUGAAAUGCGUAGAGAUCGGGAGGAAUACCAGUGGCGAAGGCGGCCUUCUGGACUGACACUGACACUGAGGUGCGAAAGCGUGGGUAGCAAACAGGAUUAGAUACCCUAGUAGUC